rnacentral:lncRNA from 1 species
GAAGAGCCCCAGGGCUCGUACGUAGACCCUCCGCCUGAAAGAGUACCCUAAUUAUCUGUGCAACCGGUAGAAUCGUGCGUUCUAGUAUGCUCACCGGGCUGUGACCACAGGCCUACUGAUAAUUGUCCACCGUUAGCCACCGAGGCUUAAGGCUUAUGAAUCAUGGGUUACCUUUGAUUGUAUCUUUCUUUUCCUUUGUUCAGACUAGUUUCAGGGUAGUUGGGGAGGUGGAUUUGAGCAUGUACACUUAGGGCAUAUACGGUUUUCACAAAAACUGGUCGGGGACCCUGGCUAAGAGGAGACUGUCCCUAAGAGGCCCCGCCGGGGUAAUAAACCGCACUCCGCCAUCUGCAGUCCUGGGUGAGUUUGCUUCCCGGAGCACGUGGCUACAGCAGUGUCCAGCCUCUGGCUUUCUUACCCAUCCAAGCUGAACCCCUAGGAGACAGACACAAGUUGGUCCCAUAGUUCCUCAAGAGUCUGGAAGUAUGAGGCGUCCCUGCACACACACUUCAUUCACCCGACACGGAAGCAUACUUCCAGUAAGAGCAUUUCCAGGUCAACAGUAUUUGUGUCACGGUGUUAAGAACAUAAACUUAGGUGUGUGACUAGGCUGGAGUCCAGUGUAACGAGUGACCUGUUAGUAAUGAUUUGCUUCUAUCUAAAUCAGACUGAAUUUGUUUGCACUUUAAAUGUGGUUUCUGAGAGGGGAUGAAGGUGUCACAGACGCUCAGGAAGCUAAGUACGCACAAGCCCAGGGACUGUCUGCAGCAUGCCGCCAGCCAUCCCAGCACAACGCCGUGGAGUCCAGCUCAUCCCGUGGCCAGUGGCCGCGGUGGGAUGACAGGAACCUGCCUGUAGACAAGUGUACCGUGCGGUCCUCGGGAGAGACCGCGGCACCAGACGCAGCCUUUCCUGGUCUCGCUGCCGCAGCACCAGCAGCCACCGUGCAUUGCCUGUUCGCUCUCUUCUUCGCCUCCAGGUCACCUCAGCUGAUCUGUCCGUAA